rnacentral:rRNA from 1 species
GUCGAACGUGAAAGCACUUCGGUGUGAGUAGAGUGGCGGACGGGUGAGUAACGCGUGGGAAUCUGCCCAGUAGUGGGGGACAACUACCGGAAACGGUAGCUAAUACCGCAUACGCCCUAUGGGGGAAAGGCUUCGGCCGCUAUUGGAUGAGCCCGCGUCAGAUUAGCUAGUUGGUAGGGUAAAGGCCUACCAAGGCAACGAUCUGUAGCUGGUCUGAGAGGACGAACAGCCACACUGGGACUGAGACACGGCCCAGACUCCUACGGGAGGCAGCAGUGGGGAAUAUUGGACAAUGGGCGAAAGCCUGAUCCAGCAAUGCCGCGUGUGUGAAGAAGGCCUGCGGGUUGUAAAGCACUUUCAGUUGGGAAGAUGAUGACGUUACCAACAGAAGAAGCACCGGCUAAAUCCGUGCCAGCAGCCGCGGUAAUACGGAUGGUGCGAGCGUUAAUCGGAAUUACUGGGCGUAAAGCGCGCGUAGGCGGCUAAGUCAGUCAGAAGUGAAAGCCCCGGGCUCAACCUGGGAAUUGCUUUUGAUACUGCUUGGCUAGAGUUUGGUAGAGGAUAGUGGAAUUCCAGGUGUAGCGGUGAAAUGCGUAGAUAUCUGGAGGAACAUCAGUGGCGAAGGCGACUGUCUGGACCGAAACUGACGCUGAGGUGCGAAAGCGUGGGUAGCAAACAGGAUUAGAUACCCUGGUAGUCCACGCCGUAAACGAUGUCAACUAGCCGUCGGGUCUAUUUACAGACUCGGUGGCGCAGCUAACGCGAUAAGUUGACCGCCUGGGGAGUACGGC